rnacentral:rRNA from 1 species
UCCGUAGGUGAACCUGCGGAAGGAUCAUUGUCGAAGCCUAGAAAGCACGACCGCGAAUGACUUUAUAAUCGGGGAAGCGUUGAGAGUCUUCGGGCUAAUAAGCGCAACCUUGUUUGGCUGGCGAGAAGACUUGCGCUACUCGUCUGUCGAAAUAAACAACCCGGCGCGGAAAGCUGCCAAGGAAUCAAUACUGAAAAGAACUGGGCUCUCAAACUCGUUAUUGGGAUUUGAGGGUCAUGUCUAUUCAGAAAAUAUCAUAACGACUCUCGGCAACGGAUAUCUCGGCUCUCGCAUCGAUGAAGAACGUAGCAAAAUGCGAUACUUGGUGUGAAUUGCAGAAUCCCGUGAAUCAUCGAGUCUUUGAACGCAAGUUGCGCCCGAAGCCUUUAGGUUGAGGGCACGUCUGCCUGGGCGUCAUGCACUGCGAUGCCCCAAUCAAUUUUAUGGAGCGAAUCAUGGCCUCCCGUAAUGUCUAACUUGCGGAUGGCUUAAAAAAGAGCCUCGAGACGGAAUAUUGUCGCGACAAGUGGUGGUUAAGAGGCCUCGGUCUUACAACUUAGCAUGUCACAACCCCUCCGCUCUAGUGCUUUUAAAAACCUUAGUCGAAGCGUGCCCAUGACGCCUUUAGCAUCGUGACCCCAGGUCAGGCGGGACUACCCGCUGAGUUAA